rnacentral:rRNA from 1 species
UCUGCCUAGUAGUGGGGGAUAACUGCCGGAAAGGUAAGCUAAUACCGCAUACGUCCUACGGGAGAAAGCAGGGGACUCUCCGGAGCCUUGCGCUAUUAGAUGAGCCUAGGUCGGAUUAGUUAGUUGGUGAGGUAAUGGCUCACCAAGACCGCGAUCCGUAACUGGUCUGAGAGGAUGAUCAGUCACACUGGAACUGAGACACGGUCCAGACUCCUACGGGAGGCAGCAGUGGGGAAUAUUGGACAAUGGGGGCAACCCUGAUCCAGCCAUGCCGCGUGUGUGAAGAAGGUCUUAGGAUUGUAAAGCACUUUAAGUUGGGAGGAAGAGCAGUUAACUAAUAUUUGACUGUUUUGACGUUACCGACAGAAUAAGCACCGGCUAACUUCGUGCCAGCAGCCGCGGUAAUACGAAGGGUGCGAGCGUUAAUCGGAAUUACUGGGCGUAAAGCGCGCGUAGGUGGUUCGUUAAGUUAGGAGUGAAAGCCCCGGGCUCAACCUGGGAAUUGCUUCUAAAACUGGCGAGCUAGAGUAUGGUAGAGGGUGGUGGAAUUUCCUGUGUAGCGGUGAAAUGCGUAGAUAUAGGAAGGAACAUCAGUGGCGAAGGCGACCACCUG